CAAAAACAUAGUUUUAAGAAAAUUUUUAAGAUAAGACCUGCUCUGUGCUAUUUCUGUUAACGGCCGCGGUAUCUUGACCGUGCUAAGGUAGCAUAAUAAUUUGGCCUUUAAAUGAGGUCUGGAAUGAACGGUAGAAUGGGAGAAAGCUGUAACAAAAGCAUUAAUUAGAACUUACUAUGAAAGUGAAAAAGCUUUCUAUUUAGUUGAAAGACGAUAAGACCCUUUAACUUGGUACACAAUAUUUGCUGGGGCGGUGAAGGAACAGUUAAACUUCCUUUUUUAUUAAUUUAACUUAAAGUUUAUUGAAUUCCGAGACAAGUACUAAAGGGAUAACAGCAUAAUCUUUUUUAAGGUUUGUGACCUCGAUGUUGGAUUAGGAUACUUUUGUGCUAGAAGCGUAAAAGGUAUGUUCUGUUCGAACUUAAAUUCCUACGUGAUCUGA
rnacentral:rRNA from 1 species